rnacentral:lncRNA from 1 species
AAUGGAGACAAAAUCAUAUGCCAAAGUGAGGAAUCAAUAUGUAAGUGUCAUAGUUUUUCUAGUCAAUUAAUGUGGAGCAUGUUAUCAUAUUGUAAGUCUGCUUAUGUAAAUUCUCAUAAUGUUUUGAUCGUAUAUAAAUGAUAAAAACAUAGGACAGUUGGUAUGUACUUUCAAUUUUUUAAAUUAAUGGGCCAUGAACAAGUGAUUUUGUGGAUGGCUUAAGAAAAACUUCUUUUAGGUACUCGUGCUAUGAUUUAAAAUAAUAUUUGAUAUGUGAACUAUGUCUAGUGAUUUUAGAAGGUGAAUCACAGGGGUGUCUCCCCUGACAAAUGCAAAAUACUUGAAUUGUGCCACCUAAGAAAGAAUGGAACACCUGUGAAUGAGACAGCUACAAAAGCUAUGUAGUAGAAUGCACAGUUAACAUAUAUAUAUAUAGACACAAUAUAUUCUUUGUGAUUGCUUCAUGCAGGAAGAUAUGAAUUCAAAGGUCAUUGAUAUUAGGGAUAAAAAAGAAGCAAAACCAACUACUAGAUGAAGUAACAGCAUAGGAAAUCAAUAUUGUAUAUUCUAAAGUGCUUGGAAGAGAGAAGUGUAAUCGGGUGAGAGGAUAUGGCAUAGGGGUGAGACCUGAGGAUGUGUCGGGUGUGCUGACCGAAAGAAAAGGUUUGAGAGAAGAGGGGAGAGCCACAACGGAAAGGUAAAACAUUUGGAACAACUUUUAAUGAAACAACAAACCAUCAUGGAAAAGGUUUUAGCUAGUGCAAGCAAUGUUUCUAACAUUGAUUCUGAAUAGCUACUGGGACAUGUUUCACCAACUAAUUGCUUUAGCACUCCACAGGUAGCACUUGGUUCUAAUAGAUUGGAAGAAAUUAUGAGUGCAACCUUACAUUCACCUUACAUGCCAAGCCAGACAUUAAUUGAUUAAGAUGGUUAUAGAUCAGUACUAAGGGGGAUAGAAGAGGAGAAACAUGCAAGGAAUAUUGGCCCUGUGUUCAGAGUUCGAAAAAUAUGGUUAGAGUUUAUGGUAUCUAGACCAUGCAGUACCAUUAUGCUUUUUGUUAACACCAUGCUUAUUAACAUAUAUGUGUUUUGGUGUUAUGAAAUUCAUAAUACCAAAAUACAUGUUAGUUUGGUAUUUUGAUAAUAACUGCUUCUUUGGUACUAGGGUAUGCCAUUUCCUUUUCGAAGACCAAGUUCAAGUGGGAUAAAAUUAGUUAUUUUGAAAGUAGAUCCCAAAUGAUUGUAUAUUUAAUUACUAGUGACUUAAUAUUUUGGGAGGUCUGAUCCUCUAUAUGUGUAAAUUGUAAUGAAAAUUAUGAAAUCAAAGCAAAUAUGUUUAUGAAAUGUUUACUGUACUGGAAGAAAUUGCAAUGAAAGUCAAUAUCUUUGUUAAACUGUUUAUUCAAUUAUAAUGAAAUUACAAUAAAGACCAGACAUCAAUAAAAAUAAUAUUUUAAUUAAUUAAUUAAUUAUUGGAAAAUGAAAAGUAAGAAAUAUACAAAUGAAAAUUGUAAUUCUUUUUAAUAAAUAUAAUACACAAAUAUAGUUUCAAUUUUUUCAAUUUGAUAGGCCCCAUUAUACUUAAAUGCUAUUGAGAAUCCAAUACGUAUUAUAUAAAAAAUAUACCAACUAGUCAAAUAAGUAAUAAAAUAUUAUAAACUGAAGUUGAUUGGAUAGAUGAUGGGCUCCACUGUACCUUUAGAUACUAUUGAGAGUCAGUUUGUGUUUGUCACGAAUGUUGUUAAAAUGGUGAGAAUAAGCUUUAGUCACGGCUUCAUAUGUAACGAAGCCCAAAAUUGUAACUGCGCCGUGACUAUUGCUUUUACUCACCAAAAAAGGUGACUAAUAAUGCCAACAGUCACUAAUAAAAAGAUAACAAUUGUUAAUUUUUUUUGUAGUGAAAGCUUUUUUUAUUGGUAUUUGCUUAUUAUUAUUUUUUGUUAUAUGGUUAGCUUCAAGCUCUAAUGAUAGUGAAGCUAAAAAGUCACUAUUCAAGAUGAGGAGGUUGAUACCAAUGAGGAAGAGGUAACAUUCUCAUAUUAAUCACUCUUUUUUAAUGGCUUUCUCUUAUUUAAUCAUUAACUUCUAAUUAUCUUUAUAGACAAUUAAUAUCUUUCUCUUAUGUUUUCUUUUUUGUUAGGAGUCUACUAUUGAAACAUAAAACAUGUCUUUGUUUUUCGAUUGAAGCUAAGAAUAAAGAAGCACGUGAGUCUGGGGGAUUUCAUUUUAUGAAAGUGUAGUUUGUUUUUCAUAUUUAUUUGUGAUUAGUUUUCUAGUUGUAGACUUGGAUGUGUUUGUGCUUACUUUAAACUAUGUUGUGGAAUCACUUGUUUUUGUGAGAUUGGGAUGAACUUUUUGUUGUUCUCUUUUGAUGAUGAAUAAGUUGGAUUAUAAACUUUG